CUCACUCUCUCCCUCUCCUCCAUCCAAUUUUCCCCAAUGGGAACAGCCGAGCGCACCACCGUUACAGCACUGCUGAGCUCCGAUCUCACCCACUGAGCGGCACACCGCCGAGCAGAGUGCUGAGCUAUUUCUCCACCACGUGAGCCCAUCUCUCCCUCAUUUCCUCUCUCUCGGCUGCAAACAGCAGCACCUCGCUCCUCCAUUUUUGACCACUGCGUAGAGCUCUUCUCUGCGCCAUCUCACCGCCUAUUCACCGUCCUCGUGCAGCUCCAGCCCACUCAGAAGCCUGGAGCAGCACGGGAGCGAGCUCCUCUACCGGUUCCCCACCUCCUCUCGUCGAUACCCCGCCGUUUCCGUUGGUUUCCCGUUCGGCCGCGCGCGCACAACCACCGCUCUGUGCAAACUUUCUCGCUCUCCUUUGUUCUGUCCUCAGCCAAGCAACAGAGAGCAGCGGCUGCAUCUCCUCCCUAUCUCCCUGUCCUCCCCUGCCUCUCGCUUUUCCUCUCGCGGCCGAGCGCCAGCAGUAAACUCCCCACUGCACACCAAAAACUCUCUGCCCAGCCGCGCCACCAUGAAAGCCAGCAUCGCCAAGCUCUUUCCACCCCAACCGAGCCUCUGGUCGUACUUAGGAAGGUCGUGUAAAGUUUUUUGCUUCAUUUCUCAUGAGAAUCCCUGCCGAAUCAAGCUCUCGCGCAUCGUUUUGCUCAGCUCCGACCGCGGCAACCGAAGCCCGCCAUUGCCGAAUCCGCUGUAACAGGUUGAGCUCCAAGUCAUUUUCUUCGGCUGUGGAGUCCUUCGGAUCUUAUGCCUCAGUGGCUUUGACUCAUCGCAGAAUCGCAGCCGAGCCAGUGCCGCUGUUUUCCCUCCCGCCGCCGGUGUCCGCCACCAUCGAUGAAGCUCCGUGCCGCCGAGGCAAACCGGGCAGCUCCUCCUCCGUCGACACUCCUGGGAGCUCGGCCGUGGUGCUCUGAAGGCGAUGCGUGCGCGGAUCUGGUCUUCCCAGAUCUCCAGCGACACUGCGCCGUCAGUCAAGCCGCCGCCUCGCCACCGUGAGGCCGGUCAAUGGCGAGAUCUCCUCCCUGUGCCGAUUUGACCGCAGUCAAAAUGCUGACCAAGGUCCACACGAGACCGGCCUCAUUGUCUGUCUCAAUGUGUAGGUUCAUUUCGGUGUGAAAGGUGAAGUUUAGGUGCCGACUAUUUUUGCAUCAUCGAGAGCUGUGUUGUGAUGAGUAGUUGAUAUACUACUACUAACCUUAGUCGGUUGCCUUGUGAACAAAUGAUGUCACAUUUUUUUAGUUUCUUUUAAUCGAUUCGUCAUUUAUGUAUAACCGUACAAGAUAUUACUUUAUCACUUUAUUAAUAAUCUAGUGUCCUUUCUUGUAGAUUGAGAGGUCAUAGAAUUCAUUGUAAUAUAUAGAGCCUUAUUAAAUUAUCAACGUUAUCACAUGAACAAGAAUAGUAAUUAAAUUUCA